GAUGAACGCUGGCGGCGUGCUUAACACAUGCAAGUCGAACGGGAAUUCUUUUAUUGAAACUUCGGUCGAUUUAAUUUAAUUCUAGUGGCGGACGGGUGAUUAACGCGUGGGUAACCUGCCUUAUACAGGGGGAUAACAGUCAGAAAUGGCUGCUAAUACUGCAUCAGCGCACUGAGCUGCAUGGCUCAGUGUGAAAAACUCCGGUGGUAUAAGAUGGACCCGCGUUGGAUUAGCUUGUUGGCAGGGUAACGGCCUACCAAGGCGACGAUCCAUAGCCGGCAUGAGAGGGUGAACGGCCACAUUGGGACUGAGACACGGCCCAGACUCCUACGGGAGGCAGCAGUGGGGAAUAUUGCACAAUGGGGGAAACCCUGAUGCAGCGACGCCGCGUGAAGGAAGAAGUAUCUCGGUAUGUAAACUUCUAUCAGCAGGGAAGAUAGUGACGGUACCUGACUAAGAAGCCCCGGCUAACUACGUG
rnacentral:rRNA from 1 species